CAUCUCGUAUCUUCUCAUCUCAUUUCAAUUUCAUUUCAUUAUUUCAUUUCAUUAUUUCAUGUGAUGUCAUCUCAUCAUUUCAUCUCAUCACAUCUCAUUUCAUCAUUUUAUUUCAUCAUCUCAUCUUAUCAUUUCAUCUCAUCUCAUUUCAAUUUUAUUUCAAUUUCAUUUCAUUAUUUCAUUUCAUUUCAUCUCAUCAGUUCAUCUCACCAUUUCAUUUCAUCUCAUCUCAUCAUUUCAUCAUUCAUCUCAUCAUUUCAUCUCAUCAUUCAUCUCAUUUCAUAUCAUCAUUUUAUCUCAUCUCAUCAUUUCAUCUCAUUUCAUUCCAUCAUUACAUCUCAUUUCAUCUCAUUUUAUGUCAACAUUUCAUGUCAUCAUUUCAUCACAUCUCAUCAUUUCAUCUCAUUUCAACUCAUUGCAUCUCAUCUCAUCAUUUCCGUUUCAUUAUUCCAUUUCAUCAUUUCAUUCAUUACGUCAUUUCAUCUCAUCAUAUUUCAUCUCAUCUCAUUUUAUCUCAUCUCAUUUCAUCUCAUCAUUUCUUCUCAUCUCAUCAUUUCCAUUUCAUUUUCAUUUCAUUAUUUCAUCAUUUCAUUAUUUCAUUUCAUCUCAUUUCAUUAUUUCAUUUCAUUAUGUCAUUUCAUUUCAUCUCAUUACAUUUCAUCUCAUUUCAUCUCAUCAUUUCAUCCAUCAUUUCAUUUCAUCAUUUCAUCUCAUGAUUUCAUCUCAUCUCAUCUCAUUAUCUCAUUUCAUCUCAUUAUUUCAUCUCAUUUCAUCAUUUCAUUUCAUCAUUACAUCUCAUCAUUUCAACUCAUCUCAUUUCAAUUUCAUUUCAAUUUCAUCAUUACAUUUCAUAAUUUCCUUUCAUUAUUUCAUUUCAUUUAAUCUCAUUUUUCAUCUCAUCAUUUUUCAUCUCAUUUCAUCUCAUCAUUUCAUCUCAUCGUUCAUCUCAUUUCAUCUCAUCAUUUUAUCUCAUUAUUUCAUCUCAUCUCAUGUCAUUUCAAUUUCAUUAUUUCAUAUCAUUUCAUUAUUUCAUUUCAUUUCAUCUCAUCAUUUCUUCUCAUUUCAUCUCGUUUCAUCUCAUCAUUUCAUCCAUCAUCUCAUUUCAUCUCAUCUCAUCUCCUUUCAAUUUCUUUUCAAUUUUGUCAUUUUAUCUCAUCAUUUCAUCUCACCAUUUCAUCUCAAAAUUUCAUCUCAUCAUUUCAUCUCAGCAUUUCAUCAUUUCAUCUCAUCAUUUCAUCUCAUCUCAAGUAAUCUUAUCAUUUCAUCUAAGUGAAAUGAUGUAAUGGAAUCAUGAAAUGAAAUGGAUAGGUUGCCCUCAGUGAUGUUAAAUUUAAAAAUUGUUUGCUUUCAUGUAUUCAUUUUUAUAUUUAUAUGUAUUUAUAUUUAUAUUUACUUAUAUUUCUUUUUACUUAUUUUUAUUUAUAUUUUUACUUAUUUAUUGGUAGACAAGGUCCUGUUCUGUGGCCUAGGCUGGAAUGCAGUGGUGCAUUCACAGUUCACUGCAGCCUCGAGCAAACCUCCCACCUUAGCCUCCCAGGUAGCUGGGACCCCAGGUGCGCACCACCACACCUGGUUAAUAUUUUAUUAUUUG
rnacentral:lncRNA from 1 species